rnacentral:rRNA from 1 species
CGGUUUUGUAAGUCUGACGUGAAAGCCCCGGGCUCAACCUGGGAAUUGCGUUGGAGACUGCAAGGCUUGAAUCUGGCAGAGGGGGGUAGAAUUCCACGUGUAGCAGUGAAAUGCGUAGAGAUGUGGAGGAACACCGAUGGCGAAGGCAGCCCCCUGGGUCAAGAUUGACGCUCAUGCACGAAAGCGUGGGGAGCAAACAGGAUUAGAUACCCUGGUAGUCCACGCCCUAAACGAUGUCUACUAGUUGUCGGGUUUUAAUUAACUUGGUAACGCAGCUAACGCGUGAAGUAGACCGCCUGGGGAGUACGGUCGCAAGAUUAAAACUCAAAGGAAUUGACGGGGACCCGCACAAGCGGUGGAUGAUGUGGAUUAAUUCGAUGCAACG